rnacentral:rRNA from 1 species
CACUGGAACUGAGACACGGUCCAGACUCCUACGGGAGGCAGCAGUGGGGAAUAUUGGACAAUGGGCGAAAGCCUGAUCCAGCCAUGCCGCGUGUGUGAAGAAGGUCUUCGGAUUGUAAAGCACUUUAAGUUGGGAGGAAGGGCAGUAAGUUAAUACCUUGCUGUUUUGACGUUACCAACAGAAUAAGCACCGGCUAACUUCGUGCCAGCAGCCGCGGUAAUACGAAGGGUGCAAGCGUUAAUCGGAAUUACUGGGCGUAAAGCGCGCGUAGGUGGUUCAGCAAGUUGGAUGUGAAAUCCCCGGGCUCAACCUGGGAACUGCAUCCAAAACUACUGAGCUAGAGUACGGUAGAGGGUGGGUGGAAAUUUCCUGUGUAGGCGGUGAAAUGCGUAGAUAUAGGAAGGAACACCAGUGGCGAAGGCGACCACCUGGACUGAUACUGACACUGAGGUGCGAAAGCGUGGGGAGCAAACAGGAUUAGAUACCCUGGUAGUCCACGCCGUAAACGAUGUCGACUAGCCGUUGGGAUCCUUGAGAUCUUAGUGGCGCAGCUAACGCGAUAAGUCGACCGCCUGGGGGAGUACGGCCGCAAGGUUAAAACUCAAAUGAAUUUGACGGGGGGCCCGCACAAGCGGUGGAACCAUGGUGGUUUAAUUCGAAGCAACGCGAAGAACCUUACCUGGCCUUGACAUGCUGAGAACUUUCCAGAAGAUGGGAUUGGUGGGCCUUCGGGAACUCAGACCACAGGUGCUGGCAUGGCUGUCGUCAGCUCGUGUCGUGGAAAUGUUUGGGGUUAAGUCCCCGUAACGAAGCGCAACCCUUUGUCCUUAGUUACCAGCAACCUCCGGGUGGGCACUCUUAAGGAGACUGCCGGUGACAACCCGAGGAAAGGGUGGGGGGAUGAAC